CCUGCCUGGAUGUUCUGCAUGCCCGGGCUCCAUUAUCACUGCUGCCUAAUGUGAUUUAGCCCUGUCUGUGGACUGCACUCUUUAAAUCUGAGAAUGUGACAGUGUCGCGGUUGGAUGCAGAUUAGGAUACAAAAUGAUAUUGAAAAGUUUUCUUUAUGUGAUCACCAUCUUCUGGUGAAGAAAAAUUCAAGACUGGCUUUAUGAACUAAACAAGAGAGAUGAGCGGUCCCCCAGUCUGGCCUAACUCAGUGCUGUUACAGGGGCUACAAGAAGACAGAAAAAGAAUGUUUGACCAAGCAUAUAAUGAGUCAUGGGUUUAAUUUAGUUCCACUAGAAUCUCAAUGUGACCUUGAAACCUUCUAACACAAUAAAUCAGAGCAGAGGAUAUCAGCAGAAGGUGUCAGUGGAUGCUAACUCCGGUCGGCUCUGCUCCGCAGGGCACCCUGCCUGGGACAAGCCCAUUAAAGAGCCGUCUCGGCGUGGAGUCCUCUCUCCAAGAAAGCCGCCCGUGGGGCUCUGUCACCCAGCCCGCAGCCCGUUCGAAGGACCGGAGCGCGGCCCCUCCGCCCGGGCGCGGGUGCCGCUGCCCGCAGGUGGUUCCCGCAGGAGG